rnacentral:misc_RNA from 1 species
AAGUCGUAACAAGGUUUCCGUAGGUGAACCUGCGGAAGGAUCAUUAACACAUCCUUUUAACAAUAUAAUCAACUGUCGCAUCUGAGCUUCUGGGCAAACGGAGUGGUCUUAGACAGGAAUCUUAGGCAGCCCCUAAGACUAGGACCUAGCCACAACUUGCGUUGUUUGCUAACGCGGACUCUUGUUGAGGGCACACUGACGCGCUGGGGUAAACCGGCAUUUCCUUGCUGAAACAUUUUUUACAACUUGAUUUUUGUACUGAAUAAAUGGCAUUUUUGGAUUGAGAAGGUUCGCCUUUUCUCUGGGAGUGUCGAGUCGAUUGGAGAAAUCCUUUCGUACUUUCAAUCAAACACAACUCUUAACAGCGGAUAUCUCGGUUCUC